GACGAACGCUGGCGGCGUGCUUAACACAUGCAAGUCGAACGGUGAAGCGCCUUCCUUUUUGGUGGGUGUGGAUGAGUGGCGAACGGGUGAGUAACACGUGAGUAACCUGCCCCCUUCUUCUGGAUAACCGCAUGAAAGUGUGGCUAAUACGGGAUAUUCUGGUUCUGUCGCAUGAUGGGUCUGGGAAAGAUAUUGUUUCGGUGGGGGAUGGGCUCGCGGCCUAUCAGCUUGUUGGUGGGGUGAUGGCCUACCAAGGCGGUGACGGGUAGCCGGCCUGAGAGGGUGGACGGCCACACUGGGACUGAGACACGGCCCAGACUCCUACGGGAGGCAGCAGUGGGGAAUAUUGCACAAUGGGCGCAAGCCUGAUGCAGCGACGCCGCGUGAGGGAUGGAGGCCUUCGGGUUGUGAACCUCUUUCGCCAGUGAAGCAGGCCUGCCUCGUUUGUGGGUGGGUUGACGGUAGCUGGAUAAGAAGCGCCGGCUAACUACGU
rnacentral:rRNA from 1 species